GUGGUAUUCCCUCCGUCCGAAAAUACUUGUCAUCAAAAUGGACAAAAAAGGAUGUAUCUAGAACUAAAAUACAUCUAGAUAUACCCUUUUUAUUCAUUUUGAUGACAAGUAUUUCCGGACGGAGGGAGUAUUAG
rfam:Triticum aestivum genome assembly, contig: Triticum_aestivum_CS42_TGACv1_scaffold_030329_1BL